rnacentral:rRNA from 1 species
GACGAACGCUGGCGGCGUGCCUAACACAUGCAAGUCGAACGAGGUCCAUCCUUCGGGAGAAGACCUAGUGGCGAACGGGUGAGUAACACGUGAAGAACCUGCCCCGAAGACCGGGAUAACCCUCCGAAAGGAGAGCUAAUACCGGAUACCCCCACGAACCGCAUGGUUUGGUGAGGAAAUGGAUUCCGCUUCGGGAGGGCUUCGCGGCCUAUCAGCUAGUUGGUGGGGUAACGGCCACCAAGGCAUCGACAGGUAGCUGGUCUGAGAGGACGAUCAGCCACACUGGGACUGAGACACGGCCCAGACUCCUACGGGAGGCAGCAGUGGGGAAUCUUGCGCAAUGGGCGAAAGCCUGACGCAGCAACGCCGCGUGGGGGAUGAAGGCUCUCGGGUUGUAAACCCCUUUCAGCAGGGACGAAUCAAGACGGUACCUGCAGAAGAAGCCCCGGCUAACUACGUGCCAGCAGCCGCGGUAAU